CUCAGUGUAGAGUUGCGAUCCCCCUUUGCCUUAGGGACCUAGUGUCUCUUUGGUGCGCUUGAUUGUGAGCAUGGCGUCAGCCAGUGACGGAGAUCCAGGCAUGGUACCAUCUUAUGCCAAGCUCAAGAACUCAGUACGUAUAUCGUACUUGGAGGACCAGAGAAAGAACCGGGACCUGAAGUACAUCGUGGAGCAAGUUCUGCUGGGCGUCUUUGGAUUAAGGAAGCAUGAGAUAUUAUCCAUCCAAGAUUAUCCGAAAAGAGGAGUAUACGAUGUUACUUUUACGGAAGGAGGUAUUUACAAGGACUUUGUUAUACAGAUGAAGAAGGUAAGCGGAGAUUCCCGCUUGAGUGGAAUAAGAAUUGUUGAGCACUUUCCCGAUGAACUUAUGCUUUUAGUUAUAAAAAUGUACUCUCCAUACGUUAAAGAAGAUGAAAUUGUUGUGUUUUUAAGGAAUUUUUGUAAAAAAAUUAUAAAUAGAGGGAAAGUGAUGAAUGAGUGUGGAAUAUGGUCCUCUAAGUGGAAGUUUCUGGUUGAGUUCAAAGAAGAUCUAUUACUCCCAGGACGAAAGGUUAUGCCUCCAGCUCGGUUCAAGUUAGGAAAUGUAAAUGGUGACGUGUUUUUCCCAGGAAUGCCCAAUUUCUGCAGAGCUUGUAGAAGAUAUGGACAUGAUAAAAACGUAUGUGAGAGUACAUGUACAAAUUGUGGCAGCACUGAGCACUCCUCCAGAGAAUGCACAAAAGAAAAGAAAUGCAGUUUAUGUUACAGAGUUGACCAUUUGUAUGCUUCUUGUCCUCACAGAAACAAAGAGAAACAACAGAGAAGCCAGCCAGACCCCCGUCAUAUGAACAGAGAAGACAGCAAACCAGAAGAAAACCCAACUGAUCCACAUGGUGAGUCUGCUACCUCUGAUGAAGAUGGAUAUGAGAAACCCUCCAGCAUGAAGGUAAGAAGAAAGGAGAAGAAAGCAUGGCAGACAGGAGCUCCUCUCUCGCAGCAGAGGGGUAGUAACCUGGAUGAAGCUGUCAGCAAGCCUCAGAGUGCCCCCCUGAGGAAGCCAGAAAAUGUUGGGGCUAAGAGAAGAAAGACCGGAACAGGAAGAGAAGAGGCGUUUGUGGAAGAAGAGGGGGGGGGUAGGGAUGCCAUCAGGUGUUCCAGCCCCCUCCCCAAGUGAAACAGGCAACUCGUCCAUGGUUCCCGACACGGUGGAAGUCGUUGUGCCCGACCGGCUGCCCGGGGUGGCUCCGACAGGUCAUCCCGGGGAGGAGAUGGACACUGGGCAAGGUGACGGAGACGGGACAACCCCUGUUCCGGCGAAGAGGAAUCCUCUCCUUAGUCCCCUACCGGAGGAUCUUCAGGAGGAGUUUUCUUCUUACAGGAAUGUGGCAUCCCUCACCAAGCAUCAUACAAGAAAUAUGAAGAAGACUGGAAG